rnacentral:lncRNA from 1 species
UGCUUUUUCAAGGAGAGAAAUAUUUGAGGUUAAAUUGGCGAUUGAGAAGCAUACUAAUCACCGUUGUUGUGUAAUAUAUGGUGCCUUACCACCAGAAACUCGAAGACAGCAAGCUACCUUGUUUAACGAUCUGAACAAUGAGUUUGAUGUCUUGGUUGCCAGCGAUGCUGUCGGAAUGGGUUUAAAUCUCGAACAAUGAGUUUGAUGUCUUGGUUGCCAGUGACGCAGUCGGUAUGGGUUUAAACCUGAACAUUCGAAGAAUCAUCUUCAACACCCUGUCAAAGUACAAUGGUGACAAGAUUGUUCCUGUUCCCUCGUCACAGGU